GCGUGCCUAAUACAUGCAAGUCGAACGCUUCUUUCCUCCCGAGUGCUUGCACUCAAUUGGAAAGAGGAGUGGCGGACGGGUGAGUAACACGUGGGUAACCUACCCAUCAGAGGGGGAUAACACUUGGAAACAGGUGCUAAUACCGCAUAACAGUUUAUGUCGCAUGGCAUAAGAGUGAAAGGCGCUUUCGGGUGUCGCUGAUGGAUGGACCCGCGGUGCAUUAGCUAGUUGGUGAGGUAACGGCUCACCAAGGCCACGAUGCAUAGCCGACCUGAGAGGGUGAUCGGCCACACUGGGACUGAGACACGGCCCAGACUCCUACGGGAGGCAGCAGUAGGGAAUCUUCGGCAAUGGACGAAAGUCUGACCGAGCAACGCCGCGUGAGUGAAGAAGGUUUUCGGAUCGUAAAACUCUGUUGUUAGAGAAGAACAAGGACGUUAGUAACUGAACGUCCCCUGACGGUAUCUAACCAGAAAGCCACGGCUAACUACGUGCCAGCAGCCGCGGUAAUACGUAGGUGGCAAGCGUUGUCCGGAUUUAUUGGGCGUAAAGCGAGCGCAGGCGGUUUCUUAAGUCUGAUGUGAAAGCCCCCGGCUCAACCGGGGAGGGUCAUUGGAAACUGGGAGACUUGAGUGCAGAAGAGGAGAGUGGAGUUCCAUGUGUAGCGGUGAAAUGCGUAGAUAUAUGGAGGAACACCAGUGGCGAAGGCGGCUCUCUGGUCUGUAACUGACG
rnacentral:rRNA from 1 species